rnacentral:rRNA from 1 species
AUAAGAUCCCUCAAAGAUGAUGAGGUUAAUAGGUUCGAGGUGGAAGCGUAGCGAUACGUGGAGCUGACGAAUACUAAUCGAUCGAAGACUUAAUCAAA